rnacentral:rRNA from 1 species
AGGAAUAUUGCUCAAUGGGAGAAAUCCUGAAGCAGCAACGCCGCGUGGAGGAUGAAGGGUCUAUGACUUGUAAACUCCUGUAAAGAAGGAAAAAAUUCCCAUUUGAUGGGAGAUGAUGGUACUUCUGGAGUAAGCCCCGGCUAACUACGUGCCAGCAGCCGCGGUAAUACGUAGGGGGCAAGCGUUGUCCGGAUUUACUGGGUGUAAAGGGUGCUCAGGCGGAUUUGUAAGUCAGAGGUGAAAUCUUACAGCUUAACUGUGAAACUGCCUUUGAUACUGCAAGCCUAGAGUAUGGAAGAGNGUGAUGGAAUAUCUGGUGUAGCAGUGAAAUGCGUAGAUAUCAGAUAGAACACCAAUGGCGAAGGCAGUCACUUGGUCCAUUACUGACGCUAAAGCACGAAAGCGUGGGUAGCA